rnacentral:misc_RNA from 1 species
UAGAGGAAGGGUAGUGACUAGAAUUUGACCACAACAUUAGAAAAUAAGAACCAGCAGGUGGACUCUAAUUUCGUGAGGGCCAAAAAUAACCCAAUUGUUGACCAACAAGCAAAAGGAAAUGAAGCAGAGGAUAAAGAAGAUGAUGAUAAUGAACAAGAAGUUGCAAGCUAAGGAGCCAAAAUGGAUGAAGAUAGAGAAGACAGUGAAACAUUUUUGUGGUGGUGGGGAGACAAAGGUGGGGAAGAGGGAGACUCCAAUGAAAAUUUUUCAUGGCAAAAUCAAAGGUUCCCAGAUUUCACACUCCAUGGUGUCCAGACACUAAAUUCACCUCUGAACCUCCCUUUCAUCUCUGCAGCUUUUCACUAUGGAUUUUGUUUUUUCAAAUUGCAUAAUCGCAUUAUGAAUCAAAAUAAGGCUUCUUUACAGUGUGUAGGCAAGUCUAGUGCUUCCAUGAAGCAGCUUGACAUUGAGCAUAGAGUUUGGGUCUGGUGGUGUUGGGGAAAGAGGAAACAUGUGGUAUGAGAGGUUUGGAAGAGGCUAUUAUUGCGGUGAGGGUUUGGGAGAAGGAGAUAGAUUGGUUGGGUAGGUGAAGAGGA